rnacentral:rRNA from 1 species
UACGUAGGGGGCAAGCGUUGUCCGGAUUUAUUGGGCGUAAAGAGCGUGUAGGCGGCUUGGUAGGUCCGCUGUGAAAACUCGAGGCUCAACCUCGAGAUGUCGGCGGAAACCACUUGGCUAGAGUCCGGAAGAGGAGAGUGGAAUUCCCGGUGUAGCGGUGAAAUGCGUAGAUAUCUGGAGGAACACCGGUGGCGAAGGCGGCAUCCUGGACCGGCAUUGACGCUGAGGAGCGAAAGCCAGGGGAGCAAACGGG